rnacentral:lncRNA from 1 species
AAAGGCUAGAUUCCACCGGAGGCGUACGCGCCGCGGGACGGCUGCGCCGCGGUCACCGCUGCUGAUCGCUUCCACUCUAAUCAAUGAGACCAUUUCCACCGGGCGCGCCGCGGAACGUUUCAGCAGCGUCCCAGGAGCGGCGUGCCGCGGCGCGGCGCUAUCUUUCCGUCCAAUUCUAUUUUUGCCGCGAGCCGCUGCUAAACCGCGUCAAUUUCGACAGAGCAGGUCGAGCCGGGCAGGAAGUGAAAAGUAAAAGCAAUAGAGCAUCCGGUCAAUUAAAACACAAUACUCAGCUCAUGUAACUUCACAUCAACAUUAUUACGUCAUGACCGGUGGCACCAGGUCAGCAGUCAAUCAAUCAAAAGGUCUCAGAGGGUCAGCAACGUGCACGACGAGAGAUUCAUUGUCGAAGUUCAGCAACAUGAAGUCAUUUAUGUACCAAAUCCUCCUUUUUUAAUGUCAGAAAGGACAAAGCGUGGCAUUUAAUUGCAAUAGUUUUGGUAGUGGAAGGUGAGUACAUUAGGUUUAGGAUUAGCGCGUGAUCUCGCGUGAAUGCGGCUGUCUCGCAAGGCAGCGCAACGCUGCCGUUACGCGCCCGGUAGGAAUGGACGCAGGGCAGAGGACGCAGCCGUUCCGCGGCGCGUACGCAUGUUGCUGAACUUCGACAAUGAAGGCCUCCACACACCGGCGCCGCAGCGGCGCGGCGCGCAUUUUACGCGCGUCAAAAGCACGCCCCUAGCACCAACAGGAGGCGGCGCGACGGCCGCGCUGCAGUAUAAAAUCAGGAAGUCACCUGUCAAUCAACCGCAGCAAAGAGACGAAACGCAAUGGGUUGAAUUUGAGAUUCUGGAGGUGAGUCUUGUUUCUUUGUGGUGUCAACAGAGCAGCAGCCCGUGUUCCAAGGUCCCCAAAAUUCUAUCUAAGGACUUCGUUGAGUCCACUGCCACCAGCCCCCCCCCCCCCACCUCUCCCUCAUGCUCCUCCACCCCAGGCACCUCUUCCACCACCCCAGACACCCUUUCCAAGAGGAGAGUGCCAGGGAGCAGGCGAGGCAUGAGGAGAGCGAGGCAAAGUUGGCGGAAUGGUUGA